rnacentral:rRNA from 1 species
CCGUGCGCGACGGGCAGAGUGGCGCGGUGAUAGGUAGGGGGGCUGGGUUGUCCGGGUUGAUUGGGCGUAAAGAGCGUGUCGGCGGCCAAGCAGGGCCGCUGUGAGAACUCGAGGCUCAACCUCGAGAGGUCGGUGGAAACCGUUUGGCUAGAGUCCGGAAGAGGAGAGUGGAAUUCCCGGUGUAGCGGUGAAAUGCGCAGAUAUCGGGAAGAACACCCGUGGCGAAGGCGGCUCUCUGGGACGGUACUGACGCUGAGACGCGAAAGCGUGGGGAGCGAACAGGAUUAGAUACCCUUGUAUG